GAUGAAGAACGUAGCGAAAUGCGAUAAGUAAUGUGAAUUGCAGAAUUCAGUGAAUCAUCGAAUCUUUGAACGCACCUUGCGCUCCUUGGCAUUCCGAGGAGCAUGCCUGUUUGAGUGUCAUUAAAUUCUCAAGACCUGUCUGCUUUUUUGAUAGGUAUUGGAGUUUGGGGGUUGCAGGCUGUUUCAAAUAAAUAGCCUUGCUCUCCUUGAAUGUAUUAGUGGAGAAAAGCCAUUGAACUCCAUUGGUGUGAUAAAACCUAUCAAUGCCAGGAGCAAUAUCACUACUUCUCUCUGCUGUCUAACUGUGACUGUCUGUAUUAAUUAGUAUGGAUGGGGACAACUUGACCAACUUGACCUCAAAUCAGGUAGGACUACCCGCUGAACUUAAGCAUAUCAAUAAGCGGAGGA
rnacentral:misc_RNA from 1 species